rnacentral:rRNA from 1 species
UCCAGACUCCUACGGGAGGCAGCAGUGGGGAAUAUUGCACAAUGGGGGGAACCCUGAUGCAGCGACGCCGCGUGGGUGAGGAAGUACUUCGGUAUGUAAAGCCCUAUCAGCAGGGAAGAAAAUGACGGUACCUGACUAAGAAGCCCCGGCUAACUACGUGCCAGCAGCCGCGGUAAUACGUAGGGGGCAAGCGUUAUCCGGAUUUACUGGGCGUAAAGGGAGCGUAGACGGCGUGCCAAGUCUGAUGUGAAAGGCCGGGGCUCAACCCCGGGACUGCAUUGGAAACUGGCAUGCUGGAGUGCCGGAGGGGCAAGCGGAAUUCCUAGUGUAGCGGUGAAAUGCGUAGAUAUUAGGAGGAACACCAGUGGCGAAGGCGGCUUUCUGGACGACAACUGACGCUGAGGCGCGAAAGUGUGGGGAGCAAACAGGAUUAGAUACCCUAGUA